rnacentral:rRNA from 1 species
UACAGAGGGGGCAAGCGUUGUUCGGAAUUACUGGGCGUAAAGGGCGCGUAGGUGGCCUUCUAAGUUGAACGUGAAAUCCCUGGGCUCAACCCAGGAACUGCGUCCAAGACUGGGAGGCUUGAAUCCGGGAGAGGGAUGCGGAAUUCCAGGUGUAGCGGUGAAAUGCGUAGAUAUCUGGAGGAACACCGGUGGCGAAGGCGGCAUCCUGGACCGGUAUUGACACUGAGGCGCGAAAGCCGGGGGAGCAAACAGG